AGCGAACGCUGGCGGCAGGCCUAACACAUGCAAGUCGAACGGAUCCUUCGGGAAUAGUUGCGGACGGGUGAGUAACACGUGGGAACGUGCCUUUUGGUUCGGAACAACUCAGGGAAACUUGAGCUAAUACCGGAUGUGCCCUUCGGGGGAAAGAUUUAUCAGCAUUAGAGCGGCCCGCGUCUGAUUAGCUUGUUGGUGAGGUAAAGGCUCACCAAAGCUACGAUCAGUAUCUGGUCUGAGAGGAUGAUCAGCCACACUGGGACUGAGACACGGCGCAGACUGCGACGGGAGGCAGCAGUGGGGAAUCUUGCGCAAUGGGCGAAAGCCUGACGCAGCCAUGGCUCGUGAAUGAUGAAGGUCUUAGGAUUGUAAAAUUCUUUCACCGGGGAAGAUAAUGACGGUACCCGGAGAAGAAGCGCCGGCUAACUUCGUGCCAGCCGCCGCAGUAAGAC
rnacentral:rRNA from 1 species